GUGAGGAAUAUUGGUCAAUGGGCGGGAGCCUGAACCAGCCAAGUCGCGUGAAGGAAGAAGGAUCUAUGGUUCGUAAACUUCUUUUGCAGGGGAAUAAAGUGCAGGACGUGUCCUGUUUUGUAUGUACCCUGAGAAUAAGGAUCGGCUAACUCCGUGCCAGCAGCCGCGGUAAUACGGAGGAUCCGAGCGUUAUCCGGAUUUAUUGGGUUUAAAGGGUGCGUAGGUGGUUUGAUAAGUCAGCGGUGAAAGUUUGCAGCUUAACUGUAAAAAUGCCGUUGAAACUGUCGGACUAGAGUGUAAAUGAGGUAGGCGGAAUGCGUGGUGUAGCGGUGAAAUGCAUAGAUAUCACGCAGAACUCCGAUUGCGAAGGCAGCUUACUAAGCUACAACUGACACUGAAGCACGAAAGCGUGGGGAUCAAACAGGAUUAGAUACCCCUGUAGUCC
rnacentral:rRNA from 1 species